UUCAACAAUAUGAAAUUCAGUAUGAAUUUGACGACGGGAAGGAGUGUGUCGCUGUCACCUGUUUUACCUACAUGUUAUUGCGAUCUUUUUGUCAUGGACUAGAGGAACACAGUUGAAUUCUAGAGCUUGAGAAAGCAACAAUAAAGUUGCGAAACGUCGCUCAUAGAAGAAG